rnacentral:lncRNA from 1 species
AUUGCUUUCGUAAUUUAUUGGACGGCGUGAUAUGAUUACCAACAGCCGCCCUGACAGUUAUACAGCUCAGGGCGUUGCACUUUCGUCUACCGCAACACGGUGUUCCCUGCAAUCCAUUUUCGCACUGCCCUCUAAACGUUCAUGCAAUAACCACAACAACAAAACUCGACAAAAUUGUUAUAAUUCAUCAUUAAACCGUUGUCGCCUACCUCCCGUGGGAGUCUGCAGAUUCGAGCGGACACUCUUGUCAUUGACGAAAUUUAUUUUUGACUGAAUUGCUUUCGUAAAUUAUUGGACGGCGUGAUAUGAUUACCAACAGCCGCCCUGACAGUUAUACAGCUCAGGGCGUUGCACUUUCGUCUACCGCAACACGGUGUUCCCUGCAAUCCAUUUUCGCACUGCCCUCUAAACGUUCAUGCAAUAACCACAACAACAAAACUCGACAAAAUUGUUAUAAUUCAUCAUUAAACCGUUGUCGCCUACCUCCCGUGGGAGUCUGCAGAUUCGAGCGGACACUCUUGUCAUGGACGAAAUUUAUUUUUGACUGAAUUGCUUUCGUAAAUUAUUGGACGGCGUGAUAUGAUUACCAACAGCCGCCCUGACAGUUAUACAGCUCAGGGCGUUGCACUUUCGUCUACCGCAACACGGUGUUCCCUGCAAUCCAUUUUCGCACUGCCCUCUAAACGUUCAUGCAAUAACCACAACAACAAAACUCGACAAAAUUGUUAUAAUUCAUCAUUAAACCGUUGUCGCCUACCUCCCGUGGGAGUCUGCAGAUUCGAGCGGACACUCUUGUCAUGGACGAAAUUUAUUUUUGACUGAAUUGCUUUCGUAAAUUAUUGGACGGCGUGAUAUGAUUACCAACAGCCGCCCUGACAGUUAUACAGCUCAGGGCGUUGCACUUUCGUCUACCGCAACACGGUGUUCCCUGCAAUCCAUUUUCGCACUGCCCUCUAAACGUUCAUGCAAUAACCACAACAACAAAACUCGAUAAAAUUGUUAUAAUUCAUCAUUAAACCGUUGUCGCCCACCUCCCGGGGGAGUCUGCAGAUUCGAGCGGACACUCUUGUCAUUGACGAAAUUUAUUUUUGACUGAAUUGUUUUCGUAAAUUAUUGGACGGCGUGAUAUGAUUACCAACAGCCGCCCUGACAGUUAUACAGCUCAGGGCGUUGCACUUUCGUCUACCGCAACACGGUGUUCCCUGCAAUCCAUUUUCGCACUGCCCUCUAAACGUUCAUGCAAUAACCACAACAACAAAACUCGACAAAAUUGUUACCGCCCUGACAGUUAUACAGCUCAGGGCGUUGCACUUUCGUCUACCGCAACACGGUGUUCCCUGCAAUCCAUUUUCGCACUGCCCUCUAAACGUUCAUGCAAUAACCACAACAACAAAACUCGAUAAAAUUGUUAGUAAGUUCAAUUUUCUAAAAUUAAUAUUUAAAAUUGAAAAGAAAUGUUUUGCUCGAGCUUGACUUGAUAAAUAACUUUAUCAGCAAAUUCGGAUUUCCUGUCUGAAAUAUGGGAAAUCCACAUCCCUUUCGUCUAAUCUUAAAAAGCAAACCAAAACGCUUUCCUACCUUCGUGUUAAUUUGGGAUCGAGGGGCUAUCCACUCUUUUUCCAAGUGAACCACAACAAAAAAGGGAAAAUUGAGAAAAAUGAGAAAUGUAGUUUUUCCCUGUAAUUUUUUCCCAUUUUUCUCAAAUUUCCCUAUUUCCCUGUAAUUUUUCCCAUUUUUCUCAAAUUUCCCUAUUUCCCUGUAAUUUUUUCCUUUUUUCUCAAAUUUCCCUACUUUCCCUGAUUUUCCCUAAUUUUCUUGACCAAGUGAACCACGGGGAAAGAGUAGACAACCCCUCGGUUAGCUAAUACCAGCGAUGUUCAGGAUCGUCCUUGCAAUAGUUAUAAAUGACGUAACCAAUCUUGUCGCCAACACUCAAGCAGAAAACCUCAGCGCUGACUCCCUUUUUUAAACUUGAUUAUUUAUCUGUACAAGUAAUUCAUCAUUAAACCGUUGUCGCCCACCUCCCGGGGGAGUCUGCAGAUUCGAGCGGACACUCUUGUCAUUGACGAAAUUUAUUUUUGACUGAAUUGUUUUCGUAAAUUAUUGGACGGCGUGAUAUGAUUACCAACAGCCGCCCUGACAGUUAUACAGCUCAGGGCGUUGCACUUUCGUCUACCGCAACACGGUGUUCCCUGCAAUCCAUUUUCGCACUGCCCUCUAAACGUUCAUGCAAUAACCACAACAACAAAACUCGACAAAAUUGUUAUAAUUCAUCAUUAAACCGUUGUCGCCUACCUCCCGUGGGAGUCUGCAGAUUCGAGCGGACACUCUUGUCAUGGACGAAAUUUAUUUUUGACUGAAUUGCUUUCGUAAAUUAUUGGACGGCGUGAUAUGAUUACCAACAGCCGCCCUGACAGUUAUACAGCUCAGGGCGUUGCACUUUCGUCUACCGCAACACGGUGUUCCCUGCAAUCCAUUUUCGCACUGCCCUCUAAACGUUCAUGCAAUAACCACAACAACAAAACUCGAUAAAAUUGUUAGUAAGUUCAAUUUUCUAAAAUUAAUAUUUAAAAUUGAAAAGACAUUUUUUGCUCGAGCUUGACUUGAUAAAUAACUUUAUCAGCAAAUUCGGAUUUCCUGUCUGAAAUAUGGGAAAUCCACAUCCCUUUCGUCUAAUCUUAAAAAGCAAACCAAAACGCUUUCCUACCUUCGUGUUAAUUUGGGAUCGAGGGGCUAUCCACUCUUUUUCCAAGUGAACCACAACAAAAAAGGGAAAAUUGAGAAAAAUGAGAAAUGUAGUUUUUCCCUGUAAUUUUUUCACAUUUUUCUCAAAUUUCCCUAUUUCCCUGUAAUUUUUCCCAUUUUUCUCAAAUUUCCCUAUUUCCCUGUAAUUUUUUCCUUUUUUCUCAAAUUUCCCUACUUUCCCUGAUUUUCCCUAAUUUUCUUGACCAAGUGAACCACGGGGAAAGAGUAGACAACCCCUCGGUUAGCUAAUACCAGCGAUGUUCAGGAUCGUCCUUGCAAUAGUUAUAAAUGACGUAACCAAUCUUGUCGCCAACACUCAAGCAGAAACCCUCAGCGCUGACUCCCUUUUUUAAACUUGAUUAUUUAUCUGUACAAGUAAUUCAUCAUUAAACCGUUGUCGCCCACCUCCCGGGGGAGUCUGCAGAUUCGAGCGGACACUCUUGUCAUUGACGAAAUUUAUUUUUGACUGAAUUGUUUUCGUAAAUUAUUGGACGGCGUGAUAUGAUUACCAACAGCCGCCCUGACAGUUAUACAGCUCAGGGCGUUGCACUUUCGUCUACCGCAACACGGUGUUCCCUGCAAUCUAUUUUCGCACUGCCCUCUAAACGUUCAUGCAAUAACCACAACAACAAAACUCGACAAAAUUGUUAGACAUUCCCGAAGGAAUCUUGUUCAUUACCAGUUUCAACCAGUUUUUGCCAUGAAUCUCUUAAGGAGAAACACAUCUAUAUAUUAGAAGAUCAAAGACCUUUCUUCGCCGCAAGGCAUACCAGCAGGAGUACUAGUUUUUGCGGGGAAAUCCCGGAUUCGGCAACAGGAAGAACCCAGCAAAAGACACUGCUGAAAACCCAAGUUUUUGCGCACCCGUUUGCAGCGCUGCUUAACUGGCACAGUUACGGCACGUGUGUUAUACUAGCUGAUUAGGAGGAGGAGGAGCCAUGCUGCUGUAGAGCCAGUGGGGAGGUGGUUUUGGAUCUAGUAUAAAAAGGGCUCGAAAAUCAGUCAAUAUUAUCACAACUUUUUGAACAGUUGAACUCGUCUAGCCUUCCUUAUAGCAAAAAAUGGUCAAAUCGAUUCUUAUGAUUUUGAUGGUGUCUUUGGUGCUGCUGGCAAUUGUCAACGAGUUCGGUGGGCUCGUGAAUGGACAGUGCCAUUCAUCCCUAGGCAACUGUUGUCGUUGGCGUUGCGAUGGCGCUGUGAACUGUCGUUGCACAUCUUUCUUUGCUGCAAACUGCGGUGCACCAGACGGGUGUGGUAGAGGAUAACCCUAACCGAAAUAGUAGUUCAUCACUUGUUUUUCAUGCAACCGAACUGGACCGAAUUUGUUAUCCGACCAAGAUUAUCCGAAACAACUACAGAAUUUGAAUAAUGGAAAAAAAAAUUAGAAAAUCCAAGUCUGUCCUAUCUAAAUCUUCUGGUUUCAAUUAACCCGAGCAAUAUUUGUAUAAUUGUGGAUAUAUUCAAAUAAUCCGCUUGAAUAUAUAUUCAACCUUCCAACUCUGAUAAUACACAUCAUACAAAUGCUCA